rnacentral:rRNA from 1 species
UACAGAGGGUGCGAGCGUUAAUCGGAAUUACUGGGCGUAAAGCGUGCGUAGACGGUUAUUUAAGUCGGAUGUGAAAGCCCCGGGCUCAACCUGGGAAUUGCAUUCGAGACUGAAUAGCUAGGGUGCGGUAGAGGGAAGCGGAAUUUCCGGUGUAGCGGUGAAAUGCGUAGAUAUCGGAAGGAACAUCAGUGGCGAAAGCGGCUUCCUGGACCAGCACCGACGUUCAGGCACGAAAGCUAGGGUAGCGAACGGG